rnacentral:rRNA from 1 species
CAGAUUGCAGGCUGNAACCCGCCUGCAUGAAGUCGGAAUUGCUAGUAAUCGCGGAUCAGCAUGCCGCGGUGAAUACGUUCCCGGGCCUUGUACACACCGCCCGUCACACCAUGGGAGCCGGUAAUACCCGAAGUCAGUAGUCCAACCACGUGAGGACGCUGCCGAAGGUAGGAUUGGCGACUGGGGUGAAGUCGUAACAAGGUAUC